CAUUCCUAUAAUCCCAGUGACUAAGAGGCUGAGGCAGGUGGAUCGCAAGUUCAAGGCCAGCCUCAGUGACUUAGCAAGGCUCCAAGCAACUUAUUGAGAUCCUGUCUCUACAUAAAAAUAUAAAAAAAGGGGCUGGGGAUGUAGCUCAGUGGUUAAGUGUCCCUGGGUUCAAUCCCCUGUACCAAAUAAUAAUAAUAAUAAUAAUAAUAAUAAUAUAAAAAUUGACAAAGAACCUGAAUAAACAUUUUUCCAAAGAAAUAAAAAAAUGUGUAAUAAGCAUAUGAGAAGAUGCUCGAACUCACUACUUAUCAGAGAAAUGCAGAUCAAAACCACAACCAGAUAUCACUUCACACUUGUUAGGAUGGCCAUUAUUAGGGACAGAAAAGGGAAAUGACAAACAUUGGUAAGAAUGAAGAGAAAUUAGAACAACAAUUCUGCACUUUUCUGUUAAUAUUUUGAAAAUUAAAGGUAGAAAUGCCAGGUACAUAGUCAGAAGAAGAAAAAGUGGCAUCUCAAAGAAACAUUUACAAUAGCCAAGCCAUGUAAGCGAUCUAAAUUCAUUGAGAAGAUAAAUGAGUAGAGAAAAUGGGCUACAUAAUACCAACCAUGCAAUAUUAUUCAGCUCUUAAAAAGCAGGAAAUAUGCUACCUGUGGGUGAAAACUGGGGGCAGUAUGUGGGGUGAAAUAAGCCAAUGACAAGACAAAGAUCGCAGGAUUCCACUCUCAUGGAUGUACUUUGAGAAAUCAAACUCAUAGAAACGGAAUGUAGAUGGGCAGUUGCCAGAAACGAGAGGGAGGGAGAAUGGGGAGUUUGUUUCUUGACAGCUGUAGAGUUUCACUCAUGCAAGAUGAAUACGAUCUGUUGUUUGAUAAUAUGUAUACAGUCAACACUCCUGGGCUGCACACCUGAAAAUAGCUGAGGGCAAAAAAAAAAAAAUCUUCCUUAUGAAUGAAAUCCAAGUCUGGGACACUCCUCUUUGGACCAUAGUAACUUCUCUCACAGGAUUAGCAGAGGAAGAUGAGGGAAAACUUACAAAAGUAAAGGCAAGAGCCCUCCAUCAUGGCGGUCGCCAUGACAUCCACUGGCUGCUCAGGAGGCUGAGACAGGAGGACCACUUGAUAUUAGGAGUUUGAGGCCAGAUUGGGCAAUAGAGUGAGAACCUAUCCACCCGCCCCCCCCCCACAAAAAAAAAUCAAAACAAAGACAAAGCAAAACAACCCAACAACAACCCAACGACAAUAACAAAGCCCCUUCACCAGGUGGCCAGCUGAAGUAAGCCAUGUUUGGGUUGUUUUUUAAGUAUUCCCUCAUUCAUCUGGAAUCCCAGCUUGAAACGUGCAUUUAUUAGUUAUAAAAUAUGAAAAUAAAUCAUUAUAUUUUGUACACCAAGAACAGAUGAAAUUUUAAAGAUAUGCAAGUGACAUUAACAUUAAAAACUAAAUACCCAGGAAUGACUAUCGUUAAAGAUAGGCAAGACUUCUACACAGAAACCUACAAAAUGUUACUCAGAUAAAUUGAAGGAGAUAGAAAGAAGCGGAGGUGCAUACUAUGUUCAUGGAUUGGAAGAUUUAAAGACGGAAGAUGUCUGUUCUUCCAGAGUUGAACUAAAGUUUCAAUAAAAAUCUCAAGGCUCCAAAAAAAAAGUCUCCCGUGGGAUUUUCUUUGGUGAAAAUUCACAAAAGUAUUAUAAAAUUUAUAUGGAAAUACAGAAAGUUGAAAAUAGCUUGGACAAUUUUAAAAGAAGCAUGUGGAGACUUAGAAAUCAGUGAUUAAGAAAAUAUGUCAUUGUCGGCCCCUGGACACAAAAAGCUCUAAAAACAGAUUCAUAUAGGACCACUUGAUUCUCAGAAAAGGCACCGUUAAAAAGCUGUGGGGAAGCUGGGCACGGUGGUGCUCGCAGUAAUCCCAGCAGUUUGGGAGGCUGAGGUGGGAGGAUCAUAAGUUCAAAGCCAGCCUCAGCAACUUAGCAAUAUCAUAAGCAACAUAGCAAGACUCUGUCUCAAAAUAAAAAAUAAAAUAGGCUGGGGAUGUGGCUCAGUGGAUAAGGGCCCCUGAGUUCAAUCUCUAGUGGCAAAAAAAAAAAAAAAUGAAAGCAGUAGGGAAAGAACAUUAAAACACCAUGACAUAUUAUCUGAAUAUUCAUAUGGAAAAAGAAACCUGGACUCCCCACCUCACACACCAUAGUAAAAACAAAUUCCAGAAACAUUGUAGACCCAAAUGUGAAACUAAAACACAACAAAAUCAUCUAGAAGGAAACAUCAUGUUUUAAUGAACCCAGUGCAGAAAGCUCUGGGCAUAAAGGAAAAGACUGAUAAGUUUAGCUAAAAGGAAGAAUUUUUGUUCAUCCAGAUUUCCGGGGCUGGGGUUGUGGCUCAGUGGUAGAGCGCUCGCCGAGCAGGUGUGAGGCACUGGGUUCGAUCCUCAGCACCACAAAAAAAAUAAAUAAAUGAAAAUAAAAAAUGGCCACUGACAACUAAGAAAUUUUUAAAAAAAAGAGACAAUUUUUUUUCCAAUAAGAAAAUGUAAAAGAAACCAAAAUUGGAACAAGAGAAGUAUCUACAUGGUAUCACAUAUAUGCACAUUUAGGAAUCUUUUCCGAUUCACAGACAUCUAUUUCAAGUGCUGAAAACCAUCUGGAGUGAGUACAUUGUCGCUCAGUGUCCUCCACGAUCCGCUCCCUGUGCCAGGGCUGCGGAUCGAGCCCUGGAGCCCUCUGCGCCUGCGCGGGCAGGUGGCCCUCUGCGCUCCCCAGGGCUCCUCCGUGCGCUUCCCAACCUGGAAGGAACCGCUUCCCGCGUCUCCCGCUCUCCCCGGGCCGCGGGACGGCCACUUCCUGGGUCAGUCAAUCCGUGUGGCCCAGGUGGGGGCCGCAGGGUGGAAAGUGAAAGGGGUGGGGGUUAAAAGUAAAAUGGCCCGUUUCCCAAAGGAACCAAGAAGAAACCAAGAGGCGCGGGGAGGGACUCCCCAGAGGGGCCAUAAGCCAGAGCCGACAGUGGCUGGAAGCAGAAGUGUCACUUCGGGACUUCCCAAGAGGGAACACAGAACCAAGGCUGCGAGAUCCCGCUGGGUCUUCCAGGGCCUCUUCUGACCUGCCCUGGGGCUGCUCAGUUCUGGGCCUGGCUCCACCUUUCUGUCCCCUCUACCCGCUGCGCACCAGGUGCCAACAGCUUGGUCAGCACGCGGCUCACCUGGUGCUGACACCUGGCAUGUGCCCUCUCGGCCACAGAACCCUCUGCUCUGCUGGGCCUGGCAGCCUCCCAUGCAGUCCUCCAAAUUCAGUCCAAAUGUCGCCUCCUCCGUUGGUCUCUGCCCCCCCACGGAGUGAGAGUCGCCCCUUCCUCUGGAGUGCACCCCUCCGCCAAAGCCCAGAGCUGGGGUGUUUCCCUCUCAGCAUCCCCGCCUUAAAUUCAGUGCCCUGUGGAUCUUAUGUACUUGAGGAGCAUAAAAUCGCCAAUGCUCCACCUUUCCCUCACCUCAGGACCUUUGCACACACCACUCCCUCUGCUGAGGACGCUUUGCCCCCAGCUUCUUUGCAUUUCCAUCCUCAGAUUUCAACUUCAGUGACGCCUCUUCCAAGAGGCCAUUCACUCUGUUGGAAAUGGAUCUUCUCUGCAGUCCCCAGCCCACACAUCCCUGUGGAUCUCCUUCAUUUAGUGGACGUCUCUGGGCUGAAGCCCAAGCGCCCAGAGGUUGGGCGGUUGACCUCUCUGUUCCCGCAGCAUUCCUCGUGCAUGGCGCGGGGUCUGGAAUGGAGCCCAGGCUCCACCAGCAGAGACGAAAGAUGGAGAACGGAUUCAAGAAAGCGAGGUGGGUAGGUGCAGGUAAGAAGGAGUAGCCUGAGAGGUCGCAGUUUCCACAUCAGCUUCGUCCCUGUCCCCAGAGUCACCCUCUCUCUCCUCCCUCAGCUCCCGGAGUCUGAGUGCUGGUGACGGCUGUCAUCAGAUUAGUGACAAGGAGCCUCCGGAGGAGGGCGGCGGACGGCCGUGCUCACCUGAGCAGGUUCUCGCGCGGCCCUGGGCCAGAAAGGGGCCUCUGCUGCGAACCCAGGAUGGGCCUCGUCCUCCUCUCAGGCUCUCCUGGGCCUCGGCCUCCCAUCUGUCUAAUGGAGCGGGGAGCCUGGGGGGUGCCCGUGGCGUUGGCCGGCUGGGUCAUGCCCUCUGGGGACUGGUGUGCAAGGGUCUCGCCCUGAGCGCUCGGUGCAUGGGGAAGGGCCUCCCCCGGCAGCCUCCCGGCCUCCCCCGUGAGCACCUGCUGCGCUCCCCUGGCCCCGGAGCUCGCGCGCACCCCGGGGCGCACCCUCCCCUGCCUGAGUCCUGCGUCCCAGAAGCCUCCGCGCCCAGGCUGCGCCCUCUCCCAGCUCCUGCAGCCCUGCAGCCCCGGGGAGGCGUGAGGCAGCUGCAGGAUGCUCUCAACCGCAGCUGCUGGGGCUGGAGGCGGGAAGGCGGGGCCCGGCGAGCAACCUCCCCUCCAUCCCUGGCCAACCAGGGCAGGACCAGGUGCUCCUGGGCAGGGUGUCACUAAUUCACCCUGGAGAGAGCCGGCAGCCGCUUGGAAACUGAAGCCCAGAGAGGCCCAGAGCCUCUGCUGUGGUCACACAGCAAGGAAGGGCUGGUGCAUCUGCCUCCCUGGGGACCACAGGGGUGGCUGGACCCUUCUUGAGGGCUGCAGGGACCAGCAGCCUGGUCCCCAUUGAGGGCCCCUGCUGCGACCUGGGGAAUAUUCUCAGGUUGUCUCAGAAGUUCCAAGUUGACUCAGCACUCUCCUCGGAGCUGUCGUGAAAAGUCCCUUUGGCAGAGGGCCAGGGCAGGGAGUGGGGGUGGUGGCACCUAGGAGCCGUGGGGGAGGGUGCUCCUCCCACUCCUUCCCCUCCCCCUCGGGUUUCUGGGGCCCUGGAGAGCCCGUGAGGAAGGGGGCGUGGAGCAGAAGGACCCUCUUCCUCAGGAAGGUGUGAGUCCCCCCCCCCCACGCUCAAGAUGGCUCCCUGGGUGGCCCGAAACCCCUCCUCCCUCUCUGGGCCUCCGCUCCCCCAUCUGUGCAGUGGGGGCACAAUCACCAAAAGAGCUGUCACUGGUUGAACUCAGAGCAUGUCAGACUCUAUGCCAGGUAACAGAUAUUAUUAUCAAUAGUAUUUAAAGUAAAACCACCCAGUGUGACUCAGGAGGCCAAGGCAGGAGGAUCGCAAGUUUGAGGCCAGCCUCAGCAACUAAGUCUGACCCUACACAAUGUUGUGAGACCUGCCUCAAAAAAAAAAAAAAUUAAAAAAGGGCUGGGGAUGUGGCUCAGUGGUAAAGCACCUCUGGGUUCAAUCCCCAGGACCCCUCUGCCCCCCAACAAAAAAGAGUAAAACCUACUGGUCCUGAGCACAUGCUCCUCAUCAGAGCCUGUGUGCUCCGCUGCCUUUGGCUGUGUGAGUAACCAAGCCCAGGACCUGGGAGGUGUCUGACCCCAUAGUAUGUGCUCAAUAAAAACCCUCUGAACAAAUUCUCACGACCAACCUGAGCUGGGUGCUCCAGGUCCUGUUCUUAUAGAGCUCCGAUUCUUGUUCUUACAGACAUUUCCUCCUGUCACAGACAAGCAACCGGGGUUCAGAGAGGUCACAGGAACACUCACUCAGGUCACACGAGCACUAAGUGGGAGAGCUGGGAUUUGAACCCGGUUCCGUCUGAUUCCAAAAUCACGGUCAGCUGCGUACCCGUGAGUCAGCUCAGCGCCCCCAGUGACCACAGGGGACCCCGCUCAGCCUCCCGAGGCUGCUCUCCUCUCCUGCCACCGUCCCCUCCCCUGGUCACCCUCAAGGCUGUGGCCUGCCCUCCCUCUCUCCUCCUGGGGACUCCGGUCGACCUUGCUGGGGAGGUGGGAGCCGUGGGCUCGGGCUCAGCCUGGGUCUUGCUCUCCUGAGCCUCCUCUGUGGGGCCGACAAAGACCCAGACACCCCCAGGGCGGGGCAGGCCAGGCUCCCGCAGGACCUACAGUGGCGGGACCCCACGACCAGGGUCCCCACCUGGCCACGGCCCACUCCCCUGGAAUGGAUGCCCAACGGUCCUGAUGGGGUGGCCCUUCUCAGAAGGUGCCUUGUGACGUGAAUCUUCUUUGCCUGUCACCUUGUCCCACAGGUGGUGACCUUGGCGUUGUGUACUCUGAGCUGGGUAUUUCCUGGUCACAGUGAACCCGGGCAAAGACGUCCCCGCAGAGCCUCAGUCUUGCCAUCUGUGAAAUGGGCUGGGUUCUCUGAGGGUCGUGGGAGGUCCUCAAGUCCUGGGAUAUGUGAGCCCUGCGGCCGGGAGGGCCAGGCAGGCAGGGCUGCUGUGUCCUGGGAACGUCCCCACACCCUCUGCCACUCUUGGGGUCCGGCUUCUCCCCCCAUGGCUCAAGGUUCCUCAUGAUACAAACUCCCUGUCUAAAAGGAUACUUGGGACUGCAUUGUCACCUUGCUAUGACCUUGAGUCCUGACAGACAGCCCCCCCUUGUCCCCGUGUUACACAUGUGACAAACGAGGACAUGAGGCGAGGCCAAGCAGAGAUUUGCCUGAGCUCACCAGCCUGGGAAGGCACAUGGCCAGACUCUCCGGCCAGGUUUUCCCCAGUCACCACGUGCUCUGAACCCCCCAGGGGAGCCACAGCUGUCCCAGGAGCAGCCUCGGGCUCCCUACGGCCCCUGCACUGCGAACUGGGCUCCUGCUGGGCAGAAACUGCCACCCCUCCAGAGUGUCCUGAGUCCUUUCCCCACACGUUGGCUCCCCUGUGGCUCUCCACCGGGUCACUAAGCUCCUCACUCCCCCUCCUCCACACACAAGAGGAGUGGCCUCUUAUCAUCUGACCCACCCCCGGGGUUCAUGAUAAAGACCAGGAGACAGCUGCAGGGUCGCCUGGUUUGACUGCCCACCCUGCCGUAUCCUAGUUGAGGCGCCAAAGGAAAAUCGUCCUCCGUCUCCAGGCUUCAUUUCCUGUGAAAUGGGCGCCCAGCCGGGUUUUGAAGGAUGAGAUAAAAUACAGGUGACAAAACACAGACGCCCUGGCCUAGCUGACAUCUCUGCCCGCCAAAACGGCCCGGGAGGCUGCAGUCUCCGCCCCUGUGCCCACUGCAGCCUGGCCCACUUGCCCAGGACCCAGGCGAUGGAGGCCCUGAUUCUUGGAGGCUGGUUUCUGUGGAUGGGUCAUCUCAGCCAUGCCCCUGCCUCGGGGCCCUGAGCUUCCUGCAGAGCCACAUCAAAGACCUCCAGUCAUUCAGAGCCGGCCAAGCGGGGACUCCAGCCCCACUCUGCCCACUGGCAUGAAGCUUCUGAGACUCAGUGUCCCCAGGUGUCACCUGCCCACAGGCUCCGAGCCCUCCUGUUGGGCACUGAGGCAGGUCCUCCUGGGGGAGAAGUUGUCCUGCCCGGGGACAGCGACAGGACCUAGUUACCUGCUCCUGCAGUGUCUUCCUCAGAAACCCAUUCCGUGGUCCCCGCGAUCGGGCGGCCUCCGGGGUGGAGGCGGGUGGCCUCGCGGAGGACGGAGACGGCAGGGUCCAGCCGGGUGGCGAUCCACAGCCGGCCCCGCGUCGGCCACCGCACGGGUCACCCAGGCCGAGGGACGGCGGGACUCUGGGCGGGUGGGGCGCAGGCAGGGCCGGGAGCAGGCGACAGGAGCGCGGGGCAGGGACCCGCUGGCCGUCCGGGGUGGACGAGGCCCGGGGACAGCCUCAGGCGCAGCCCGGGAGAAGCAGGCGGGUGCCCGGGCGCGGGGCCCACGGCCACCCGGCGGAGCGACGCCCGUGGGUCUGCGCGAGGCGGCGGCGGGCGGCUGCCAUCCCUGUCGCCGCGGCGGGCGGAGGAGGAUGUGGCGAGGCCGCCCCGCCCCCGCCCGCCCCUCCCCGCAGAGCAAGGUGGGGACCGGCCAGGCGGCGCCCUGUGCUCGCCAAAGGUCACCCAGCAAGCCGUGGGGGCCGCCAGGACGACAUGUGCCUCCGGGGGACAGGUGACAUCAUCCCCACAAGCCUCUCAGUGACCACCAGGGAGCCACUUCCCACAGAUGUGCAAACCGAGGCUCCAGGCUGAAGGGGUAUGGGGACCGCUCAGUGGCCCCACCUCUGGGACACAGAGAAGGCUGAGCCCUGGGGACAGAGCCUGUCCAGGCGUCCUGGAGACCCCCCUGUCCCACCUGCAAACUGGCCUGUCCCAUCAGCCACGCAACUGCCGGCCCACUGGGUCUGAGCAGCCCCGGUGACCCCGACUCUCCCCACCUCUGUCUCCUGCACCAGGCCCCUGGGGGAGCCCAGUCCCCAUGUCCUUGAAGGCAGAACCCCCGGGGCCCCUGUGGCGUGGCCUGCUUUGCCCUUCUCUCAAAUAGAGACACCCAAAGGCUGGCCACAGGGACCAUGGGGACACGGGGACUCAAAAAGACACUAGAGAGAAGACAUUCACCAGACAGAGAGAGGUUCUGUCUCCUAACAAGCCAGAGGCGCAGGACAGGUUCAAAUGUCUCUGGUUGACAUUUAAGAGACCAGGGGACAAAACCAGCUUACGCCCAGCAGCCUCAAGAGAGGAACUCGAUCAUCACCAUGACCACCGCAAGACCGCCGGGCACGGCUCAUCCUGCCAACCCUGGGGGCAGGGGGGACUCCUCCACUUUGCGGAUGGAGAGAGGCUCACAGAGAUCAUCCCACAAGCUGAGGGCGGGAGCUGGGAUUUGAACCCAUCCCUAAGCUUGCCCCCGAGUGUGCAAAGGGAAUGUGUCCAGAGGGGGGGGACGCUCUGGGUCCGCGCAGAUGCCUGUCCAGCCCCCCCAUCCCGCCAUGGACUCAGUUUUGGGGAGCAACUUACAGAUGCUCCUCAAGGCCAGUCCAGGGGGAAAGAGAACGCCUCUUGCACUUUAUUUCUUGAUGUAUGUGCCUUUUUCUUUUUCUAGCCAUGUUUUGAGGAACUUGGGACACAUUCCCCUGUGGUCACUCUGCAGGCUCUGGGUCCUGUACACAGCCCCAAAGACAGGCUUUGCCCUGACAACAGGAAUAUCUCCCCAGCUCCGAAGAGCAGAUCUUGGGAAGGAAACCAGCUUGCUCUUUCUUGUUCUCUUGAUCUUCAAAGUGAAUCUCCUGAUACCGCGUCCUGCAAUUGGUAGCCAUUGAAAGAUCAUAAGGAGGAGUAAGAGAUGACUAAUUUGUGAAGGGCUUGCUUUGUACUAGGGGGUGAAGGACUUUAAAGAUUUUUAAAGACUUUAAAAAUCACUGGAGAGCACAGCUACCAUCCUCCUCCAUCGUUUCCCCUUGUGCGACAGAUGAGGAAACAGAGGUUCAGAGAGGUUAAUGAUUUGUCUAAGGUCACACAGCUGGUGAGUUAGAAAUUGAAUACAGUCAUUUGGACUCCAGAGCCCACACUUGAGAUAACUCACUUCACUUCAAGAUAAAAAAAAAAAAGUGGGAGGGUGGGUAGCGACGUGGGCAAGGUUUUAGGCAGUGCAAAGGUACUGAGGCAGAACCCAUGUGGCUUGCUCCAAGAGUACAGGGACAGAGUGGCAGCAGAGACCAAUGGGGGGGGGGGAAGGUCACACUCACUGCAUGCCACCUGGGAGGAAAGCAGAUUUUGUUCCAGUGGAAAUGGGGAGUCAUCUCUGGCUUUCAAGGGGUGGUUUAGUCUAAUUUGCAUUUUCAAGAGUGCUCAGGGCACGCACAGGCUGUGUGUGGGACACAGCAGGGGCCACUUAGUCCCUUAGUACCUGAAAAGAAGAUGGUUUGGGGACUGGAAAUUUAACAGCUGCCAGGGCCACAUCCCCACCCCCAGAAAUGGACGUGAAGUGUCCUCUGGGGCGGUGCCUCUGGGUCUGCCCAUGUCUCAGGAGUGUGGCCCGCGGAAGGGAGGUGUGGUGGGACCUCUGGGGCCCUCGCAACCCCGGAGGACUCAGAGCUGGUCACCGAGAGGAAGUGGUCUCUCUGCCUUUCAGUCAAGUGGUCUCCUGGGGGAAAAAUAAUUGCGACAGCCCCUCCCUCCGCCAUUUCCUCUUUUUUAUUUUUAUUUCCACAGCUCCUUUGAGGUAUUAUUUAUAUAACAUCAAAUGCAGCCACUGAAUUCAGUUCAAUUAGUUCUAGAAAAUGUGUCGAAUUGUGCAACUCACCAUGAUCUAAUGUUGGGAAAUUUCCAUCAUCACACACACACACACACACACACACACACACACACACAAACCCCCAACAAUCCCUUGGGCCUGUUUGCAGCCAGUUCCCGACUCCCACGUGCUUGAUCGUCCUCUGCCAAUUUUUUAAAUUGCAUUAUCAUUGUUGGGUUGUAAGAGCUCUUUACAUAUUCUGGAUACUUGACCUUUAUCAGAUAGAUGGUCUGCAAAUAUUCUUUCUCAGUUUUCUGCAUCGUCUUGUUACUUUCUGAGUCCUGUGCUUUCAUGUAAAAGAGUUUUGGGGGGGUUGAAUCCUGAGCUGUUUAACCACUGAGACACAUCCCCAGCCCAUUUUCUGUAUUUUAUUUUGAGAUACAGUCUUAAUAAAUCGCUUAGGGCCUCACUAAGUUGCUGAGGCUGGCUUUGAACCUGCCAUUCUCCUGCCUCCGACUCCCACGUUGCUGGGAUUACAGGCGUGCAACAUUGCACCCAGCAGUAAAAGAAUUUUUAAUUUUCUCAUCCCCAGGCCCCUCUUUUAAAAUUUUUUUUAAAUGUUUUGAGCCAGGGUCUUGCUAAUUUGCUUAGGGCCUUGCUAAAUGGUGGAGGCUGGCCUUGGACUUGUGAUCCUCCUUCCUCAGCCUCCCAAGCUUCUGGGAUUAUAGGCAUGUACACUGCACCCAGCAAGAGCUUUUAAUGGUUAUAAAGCACAGUUUCUCUCUUUCUUUCUUUGUGCUUUUGAAGCACAUCUAAGAAGGAUCCGUUACCAAAUCGAAGGCCAUAAAGAUUUCUUCCAGUGUUUUUUUUUUUUUUUUCCUGAGAUUUUUAUUGUUCUGUUACUUCUUCUAUUUAGGUCUCUGACCCAUUUUAUAUUCAUUUUGGUGUAUGGUGUGAGAUAAGGGCCAAACUUUGUCGUUUCACAUAUAGAUCUAUCCAGUUGCCCCAGCACCAUUAAAUAAAUCAAUAAACAAGGAAUAUUUCUUGAUCAAAUAUAAAUCACCAAAUAUAAAUAUUGAAUUAAUUAACUAAGAGGCCAUUCUUUCCCCAUUGAAUUGUCCUGGCAUCCUUAUUGGAAAUCACCUGACCCAUGCCGUUUAUUUCUAGACUCCUGACCUGGAUGUCAACAGACCGACGAUGUCCUUGGUCAAAUGUGUUGUCCCUGGGCCAACAGCCCGAGGUCCCUGAGCACAGCGGCUCUGUAGUGAGUCUUGAUCUUGUUGUUCUAACAGCUGUUUGGGCUCUUCUCUUGCAAUUCCACAUGAGCUUUAGGAUCAACUUCUUCAUUCAAAAGAAAAAGACACCAGUCGAGGUGAAGCAUGCCCAUAAUCCCAGGCACUCGGGAGGCUGAGGCAGGAGGAUCACAAGUUUGAAGGCAACUAAGGGAGACCUUGUCUCAAAAAAAAAGUACAAAGGGCCAGGGAUGGGGAUGUAGCUCAGCCCAGCACCAAAAAUAAAUAAAUAAUUUUAAUUAAUUAAAAGAAAGAACAUUGGGAUUUUUAUAGGGAUUGCAUUAAAUUCACAGAGUGCUGUAAACCUGAAGAUCGCCGUCUCAAGGAUGUUACACCUUCCACUUCACCAAAAAUUUACUUGGGUCUUUCUUCUUUGAUUUUUUUUCAGUAACGUUUCUUGCAACUCCUGAGUUCUAUCUGUCCCCAGGGGUUUUAUUGCUCUUGAUGCUGUUGUGAUGGAAAGUUCUUCCUUGCCUCCUGGGGCCGGGCUGCUCCUCGCUGGUGCCUUGAGACCCCGUGCGUUUCUGCAGGUUAAUUUCUAUCCUUCCACCUGGCCCAAGUCGUGUUUUGGUUCUAGUCAUUUCUUUGCCGAUUCUUGAGGAUCUUCUCUAUUUAGGAUCACAUCGUCUGUUAAUCAAGGUCGUGUUUCUUCUUCCUUUCUACUUGGAAGCUUUUAAUAGCUGCCUCUUGCUGAUCUGUUGGGGUUUGAACUCCGGGUAUCGUGUUGAGGAGCGUUGGCCAAGAGGGCACCAUUCUCGUUCCCAAUCUUAGGGGAACAUCUUCCAUUUUUCAUCCGCUGUGAGGUUUCAUAUCCGACCCUUGUCGAAUUGAAGGAAUUCCCUUGGAUUCCUAUUUUGCUGAGGGUUUCAGUCCUGCAAGGGCAUUGAAUUUUGUCAGAUGCUUUUCUGCAUCAAUAUAAAUGAUCACGUGGUGUUUGUCCCUUUAUUCUGUGAAUAUGGUGUACCGUGUGGCUUCACCUUAUAUUGAACUAUCCUUGCAUUCCUGAGGUUUGGUCCUGCUAUAUAAACUCUUCAAGGGGCUGUAGGACUCUGUUUUCUGGUAUUUUGUUGAGGAAUUUUUUGCAUCUAUGUUCCCAAGAGAUGCUCAUCUGUGACGUCCUUGUCUGGAUUUGGUAUCAUAGAAUGACUUAGAUAAUAUUUCCUCCUCUUGUGUUUUGUGGAAGAAAUUAAAAAAGGAAUGAGGUUAAUUCUUCUUGAAACGUUCCAUAGAAUUCAUCCACGGACUUUUCUUGCCUGGGAGGUUUCGGGUUGGUAAUUCAACUCUUAUUUUGUGAUAUGUCUAUUGGGGUUUUCUAUUUCUUCAUGAGUCAAUUUUGGUAAUUGGUUUUGGUGAGACUUUUAAAGUCUCCAGUGAUUCCGUACCGUUUCUAGAAAUUUGUCCGGUUCAUUGAAUUUGUUGGCGUACGAUUGUUCAUCAGAGGAUCCUUUUUGCUUCUGUAGAGUUGGUAGUCAUGUCCCCACUUCUGUUUCUGAUUACAUGAAAGAAAUCUUGCUUGUAUUGAAGCUACCAUCAAUUUGUAUUUCUGUUAUAUGCGGUUGAACCUAUAUUUGGUUGAACAGUCACAGAUUCAGAUUCAGGUAUGGACGCAGAUGCAGACAUAGAUCUGAAUAUAUUCCUGACCCAAGAAUAGAUAUAAAUAUAUUUCUUCUCCUAAGGGGAAAGAUCAAGCAGGACAGACAAGUAACAAUCUCUGUCGAAUCCCAGAAAAUAAAACAUAACACAUUUUAUCACUCAGGGAUUUUUGUUUUGUUUCGUUUUUCUUCUGGUGCUGGGGACUGAACCCAGGG
rnacentral:lncRNA from 1 species